rnacentral:lncRNA from 1 species
GCGCGGAGGGAGUGUUCUCGGAGUGUUUGGAGUGUGGAUAAAUUAGAGAUGCGUGGUGUUGAUGUGCUUUAGACACUACCAAGAGUAGAGUGAUCGAAGCUUUAGACACGAAGACUGGAGUGUUGAGAGGUUUAGACACUAAGAUCAAGAGAGAGGAACGAGACGAGGGAAAAGUUGAAAUGAAAUUAGGGAAAUUUGAAAAAUUAGAAAAUAAGAGAUAUUAUAAUUGAUUUCUAAACCUCCGUUAUAAUAGGUUAUCAACAUAUUUACGAGUUUGCUACUGCGUUUUAUUAUUAUAACUGAUUUAUAAAAAAAUAC